rnacentral:rRNA from 1 species
CCUUGGGUGACGAGUGGCGGACGGGUGAGUAAUGUCUGGGAAACUGCCCGAUGGAGGGGGAUAACUACUGGAAACGGUAGCUAAUACCGCAUAACGUCGCAAGACCAAAGAGGGGGACCUUCGGGCCUCUUGCCAUCGGAUGUGCCCAGAUGGGAUUAGCUAGUAGGUGGGGUAACGGCUCACCUAGGCGGCGAUCCCUAGCUGGUCUGAGAGGAUGACCAGCCACACUGGAACUGAAGACACGGUUCCCAGAACUCCUACGGGGAGGCAGCCAGUGGGGGAAUAUUUGCACAAAUGGGAGCAAGCCUGAAGGCAGCCCAUGCCGCGUGUAUUGAUGAAGAGCCUUCGGGGUUGUUAAAGUACUUUCAAGCGAGGAGGGAAGGCGUUGUGGUUAAAUAACCGCAAACGAUUGACGUUACUCGCAGAAGAAGCACCGGCUAACUCCCGUGCCAGCAAGCCGCGGUAAUACGGAGGGUGCAAAGCGUUAUUCGGAAUUACUGGGCGUAAAGCGCACGCAGGCGGUCUGUCAAGUCGGAUGUGAAAUCCCCGGGCUCAACCUGGGAACUGCAUCCGAAACUGGCAGGCUAGAGUCUUGUAGAGGGGGGUAGAAUUCCAGGUGUAGCGGUGAAAUGCGUAGAGAUCUGGAGGAAUACCGGUGGCGAAGGCGGCCCCCUGGACAAAGACUGACGCUCAGGUGCGAAAGCGUGGGGAGCAAACAGGAUUAGAUACCCUGGUAGUCCACGCCGUAAACGAUGUCGACUUGGAGGUUGUGCCCUUGAGGCGUGGCUUCCGGAGCUAACGCGUUAAGUCGACCGCCUGGG